GUCGCUCUUCCGCUUCGGCGUCUAAAAAAUUGGCCUCCCUUCUCCCGCCUCGUUAUCUCGCCUUCUUUCCCAUUUAUCAUCUCGUUCGUUCUUGGACCUCGAUCUUAAUGGCGAACCCAGGCGGGUCUUCUGCUUCCGAUGCCAAGGGUAAGAAUAACACGGCGAUCCUGGAGAAGAAGAAGUCGCCCAUUCGUUUGAUCGUAGGCGAGGCGAUCAAUGGUGAUAAUUCGGUGGUAUCGAAGAAUCUUGAGAGGAUGCAGAAGUUGCAGCUAUUUCGUGGUGAUAUUUCUCUUUUCAAUGUUUUUCUAUAGGGAAAAAAGAGGAGGGAUACAAUUUGCAUUGCUCUAGCUGAUGAUACAUGUGAUGAACCAAAGAUCAAGAUGAAUAAGGUUGUUAGACUGAAUCUCAGAGUGAGGCUGGGAAAUAUUAUCUCAGUCCAUCAGUGCCAAUAUGUAAGUGUGUGAAGUGUGUUCGUAUUCUUCCUAUUGAUGACACAAUCUAAGGAGUUACAGAAAACCUCUUUGAUGCAUAUUUGAAGUCAUAUUUUCUGGAGGCAUACGCCCUGUUAGAAAAGGGGAUCUUUUCCUUGUCUGAGGAGGUAUGAGGAGUAUUGAAUUUAAAGUUAAGGAAACCGAUCCUGCAGAGUAUUGUAUUGUUGCUGCUGACACAGAUUUUCUGUGAGGGGGAACCUGUAAAAAGGGAGUAUGAGGACAGACUUGAUGAGGUGGGUUAUGAUGAUGUUGGAGGAGCUAGGAAACUAAUGGCUCAAAUAAGAGAGCUAGUAGAGCUACCUCUUAGACACCCUCAAUUGUUCAAGUCAAUUGGUGUCAAGCCACCGAAAGGUAUUUUGUUUUAUGGACCGCCUGGUUCUGGGAAGAUGCUGAUAGCUAGGGUGGUUGCAAAUGAGAUGGGAGCCUUUUUCUUCUGCAUUAAUGGUCCAAAGAUCAUGGCAAAGCUAGCUGGUGAACAUGAGAACAAUUUGAGAAGGCUUUUGAAGAAGCAGAGAAAAAUGCACCAUCAAUUAUUUCUAUCGAUGAGAUCGAUUCCAUUGCUCCUAAGAGAGAAAAGACUAAUGGAUAAGUUGAGAGACGUAUAGUGUCUCAAUUGCUGACGCUGAUGAAUGGGCUAAAACAGUAUUGAUCCAGCUCUUAGAAUAUUUGGUAGGUUUGUUUGAGAAAUUGACAUUGGAGUUCCAGAUGAAGUAGGUCGCUUGGAGGUUCUUUGAAUCCAUACUAAGAACAUGAAGUUAGCUGAAGAUGUUGAUUUAGAAGGGAUAGCUAAGGACACUCGUGGGUAUGUUGGAGCUGACCUUGCCACUUUAUGCACUGAGGCAGCUCUCCAGUGUAGACGUGAGAAGAUGGGCAUAAUAUAUUUAGAGGAUGAAUCGAUUGAUGCUGAGAUUCUCAACUCAAUGGCUGUUACAAACGAACAUUUUAAGACUGCUCUUGGAUCAAGUAAUCCAUCUGCACUCCGUGAAACUGUUGUUGAAGUGCCAAAUGUUACCUGGUAUGAUAUUGGUGGGUUGGACAAUGUUAAGAGGGAGCUGCAAGAGACUGUGCAAUAUCUGGUUGAGCAUCCUGAGAAGUUUGAAAAGUUUGGGAUGUCCCCCUUCAAGGGAGUAUUGUUUUAUGGACCGCCCGGUCGUGGAAAGACCUUGUUAGCUACGGCCAUUGCUAAUGAAUGCCAAGUGAAUUUCAUCAGUGUCAAAGGUCCUGAAUUAUUGACUAUGUGGUUUGGUGAGAGUGAAGCAAAUGUGUGUGAAAUCUUUGACAAGGCUUCGUCAAUCUGUGCCCUGUGUUCUCUUUUCUGAUGAGCUUGACUCCACUGCAACCCAGAGAGGCAGCACUGUUGGCGAUGCAGGAGGUGCUGCUGAUAGGGUUCUUAAUCAGCUACUGACACAGAUGGAUGGCAUGAAUGGCAAGAAAACAGUGUUCAUUAUUGGGGCAACUAAAAUGCCUGACAUUAUAGAUCCUGUUUUGCUUAAGCCAGGCCAUCUUGACCAAUUGAUUUAUAUACCUUUACCAGAUAAGGCCUCUCGAUACCAAAUAUUUAAAGCUUGCUUGAGGAAGUCUUCUGUGUCUAAAGAUGUUAACUUGAGGGCUCUUGCCAAGUACACUCAAGGAUUUAGUGGUGCAGAUAUUACAGAUAUUUGCCAACAUGCAUGCAAUUUUGCCAUUAGAGAAAACAUUGAAAAGGAUAUAGAAAGAGAAAGACGGAAAAGUGAGAAUCCAGACGCAAUGGAGGAAGAUGAGGCUGAUGAAGUAUCAGAGAUCAAAGCUGCUCAUUUUGAAGAAUCAAUGAAGUUUGCUCGUCGGUGUCAGUGUUGCAGACAUCCGGAAGUACCAGGCUAUUGCACAGACCUUGCAGCAGACAUCACACUGUGGCACUAUGGAGAUCUUUCAUGUUUACUAGAUCUCAUUCGGGACUCAAGAAACGAAUUUGAUGGUGAAGGCUGGCCUCGCGCGUGGGGCCGACGCGGGCGGGUUGCGCCGUCAGCCGAGGAGUUGACGCAGGCUGGUCGAGCAUGGGGCCGAGGCAGCAAGCUGUGCUGUCAACCGAGCAACUGAGGCGGGUUGGCCGCGCGCGUGGGGCCGAGGAGCCGAUACCAGCCCUAGAAGUCGCUGCUGCUGAUGCAGGUCGGCUGCAGUGGAGCAACCAAAGAGAAGGCUAACGUACCGUCAUUCCGGGCCCUCCUUCUAGCGCCAAAAUGAUGCGGGAGGCAUCUAUUUAAGCCGUGGCCUCGGGGCCGACGCGGCUCGGUUCGGGGGUCCGGAUGUCGGGUCGGCAGGAAGGUCCGUCGCAGCGCUUGGAAGAGUCCGCCCCCUCUGGUACCUGCACAAAGGUUGGGCCGAGGCGCUCGGCCCGACCUCUCCGACGGCCAAGUUAGCGAUGUGGAGAGGGUUUUGGAGGAAGAGAUGCCUCCAUACAAGUGUGGCGUGUCUCUUAGGUGUCCCCCCCUUCCCUUCAAACGAAUGAGAGGGUAUUUAUAGGGGAGUAUUCUGCUUCCUGUGCUUGAUGUGCCCCUUGCAGGGGGCAGGCUGGUACUCCUGACAGUAGCGAUGGCGUAGCGUGUUGGACUUGGCUUUUGCAGGAUAUUAAUGUGCCUCGGUCAGCGUUCUGAUCAAUUCCGAGGUGCGUGACGUCAUUUGGAGCAGCUGACACUGUCUUGAGAUUGAUUGCCAUAUUUACCCUUAUCAUAUUCCCUCCCGAAAGGAGCUAUGCGUCGGUUGUCACGCAAGGGGAGUCCGAUGCAUGGCUUCUGUCUUCAGGUGGGCUGGUCGUGCAUGGGGUCGAGGCAGCAAGCUGCGCUGUCAGCCGAGCAACUAAGGCGGGUUGGCCGCGCGCGUGGGGUCGAGGAGCCGAUACCGGCCUCAGAAGUCGCUACUGCUGGUGUAGGUCGGCUGCAGUGGAGCAACCAAAGAGAAGGCUAACGUACCGUCAUUCCGGGCCCUCCUUCUAGCGUCAAAAUGAUGCGGGAGGCAUCUAUUUAAGCCGUGGCCUCGGGGCCGACGCGGCUCGGUUCGGGGGUCCGAAUGUCGGGUCGGCAAGAAGGUCCGUCGCAGCGCCUGGAAGAGUCCGCCCCCUCUGGUACCUGCACAAAGGUCGGGCCGAGGCGCUCGGCCCGACCUCUCCGACGGCCAAGUUAGCGAUGUGGAGAGGGUUUUGGAGGAAGAGAUGCCUCCAUACAAGUGUGGCGUGUGUCUCUUAGGUGUCCCCUCCUUCCCUUCAAACGAAUGAGAGGGUAUUUAUAGGGGAGUAUUCUGCUUCCUGUGCUUGAUGUGCCCCUUGCAGGGGGCAGGCUGGUACUCCUGACAGUAGCGAUGGCGUAACAUUUUGGACUUGGCUUUUGUAGGAUAUUAAUGUGCCUCGGUCAGCGUUCUGAUCAAUUUCGAGGUGCGUGACGUCAUUUGGAGCAGCUGACACUGUCCUGAGACCGAUUGCCAUAUUUACCCUUAUCAUAAAAAUGAUGCGGGAGACAUCUAUUUAAGCCGUGGCCUCGGGGCCGACGCGGCUCGGUUCCGGGGUCCGGAUGUCGGGUCGGCAGGAAGGUCCGCCGCAGCGCCUAGAAGAGUCCGCCCCCUCUGGUACCUGCACAAAGGUCGGGUUGAGUUAGCGAUGUGGAGAGGGUUUUGGAGGAAGAGAUGCCUCCAUACAAGUGUGGCGUGUGUCUCUUAGGUGUCCCCCCCUUCCCUUCAAACGAAUGAGAGGGUAUUUAUAGGGGAGUAUUCUGCUUCCUGUGCUUGAUGUGCCCCUUGCAGGGGGCAGGCUGGUACUCCUGACAGUAGCGAUGGCGUAGCGUGUUGGACUUGGCUUUUGCAGGAUAUUAAUGUGCCUCGGUCAGCGUUCUGAUCAAUUCCGAGGUGCGUGACGUCAUUUGGAGCAGCUGACACUGUCCUGAGAUUGAUUGCCAUAUUUACCCUUAUCAUAUUCCCCCCCGAAAGGAGCUAUGCGUCGGUUGUCACCCAAGGGGAGUCCGAUGCAUGGCUUCUGUCUUCAGGUGGGCUGGUCGUGCGGACGCAAUUUCGGGGAGAAUGGAGUCGAGGGGUCGAGGAGCACGACGCAGGCGGGCUAGCCGCGCAGGUGUAUCCUGGGUGGCGUAAAGCCGAAGAGCCGAGGAGCACGACGCAGGCGGGCAGACCGCACAGGUGUGUCCUGGGUGGCUUAAAGCCGAAGAGCCUAGGAGCAUGACGCAGGCGGGCAGACCGCGCAGGCGUGUUCGCGAGGGCCAUGCAGCCGAGUAGCACGACGCAGGCGGGCAGGCCGCGCGGGUGUCUUGGGUCAUGGGCAACGUGCGACCGAUGAGCACAAGUAGCACGACGCAGGCGGGCUAGCCACGUAGGCGUGGUCGCGAGGGCCAUGCGGCUGAGUAGCAUGACGUAGGCGGGCUGACCGCGCAGGCGUGGUCGCGAGGGCCAUGCGGUCGAGUAGCACGACGCAGGCGGGCAGGCCGCGCAAGUCUGUCUCGGGAGUCGGGGGCCGAGGAGCACGACGCAGGCGGGCAGGCCGCACAGGCGUGGUCUCGGGUAUUACGGAGCCGAGGAGCAUAAGGCAGGUGGGCAGGUUGGGCCGACGAGUCGCAAGUCGAAGAUCGAACUGGAGCGACUCGGGCUAUGGUCUGAGCCGGCGAGUCGCAAGUCGGAGAUCGAACUGGAGCGACUCGGGCUAUGGUCUGGGCCGGCGAGUCGCAAGUCGGUGGUCGAACUGGAGCGACUCGGGCUAUGGUUUGGGCCGGCGAGUCGCAAGUCGGUGGUCGAACUGGAGCGACUCGAGCUAUGGUUUGGGCCGGCGAGUCGCAAGUCGGUGGUCGAACUGGAACGACUCGGGCUAUGGUUUGGGCCGCUGAGUCGCAAGUCGGUGGUCGAAUUGGAGCGACUCGGGCUAUGCGCCAAGGAGCACGACGCAGGCGGGCAGGCCGCGCGGGUGUCUUGGGUCAUGGGCAAAGUGCGACCGAUGAGCACAUCUCAAUCGGGAAGCCGAGUAGAGGUCGUGGUCUCGGACAACGUGCGGGCGAGGAGCACGACCAAGUGGGCAGGCUGCAUAGGCGUGUCUCGGGUAAUGGGCCGAGCCGGCGAGUCGCAAGUCGGAGGUCGAACUGGAGCGACUCGGGCUAUGAGCCAAGCCGACGAGUCGCAAGUCGGUGGUCGAACUGGAGCGACUCGGGCUAUGAGCUGAGGAGCAUGACAUAGGCAGGUAGGCCGCGUGGGCGUGUCUCGAUUGACACGCAACCGAGGGGCACAACUUUGUCGGGCAAGCCGAUCAGAGGUGGUCUCGGGCAACACGUUGCCGAGGAACUAAUGCGGGCUGGCCGCGCAUGGGGCCAAGGCAGCAAGCUGCGUUGUCAACCGAGCAACUGAGGCGGGUUGGCCGCGCGCGUGGGACCGAGGGGUCGAGGCGCGUGGGCUGGUCGCGCGCGUGGGGCCGAGGAGCCGAGGCGCGAGGGCUAGUCGCGCCCGUGGGGCCGACGCGGGCGGGUUGCGCCGUCAGCCGAGGAGCUGACGCGGGCUGGCCGCGCUUGGGGCUGAGGCAGCAAGCUGCGCUGUCAACCGAGCAACUGAGGCAGGUUGGCCGCGCGCGUGGGACCGAGGGGUCGAGGCGCGUGGGCUGGCCGUGCGCGUGGGGCCGAGGAGCCGAGGCGCGCGGGCUGGUCGCGCCCGUGGGGCCGACACGGGCGGGUUGCGCCGUCAGCCGAGGAGCUGACGCGGGCUGGCCGCACAUGGGGCCGAGGCAGCAAGCUGCGCUGUCAGCCGAGAAACUGAGGCGGGUUGGCCGCGCGCGUGGGACCGAGGGGUCGAGGCGCGUGGGGCCGAGGAGCUAAGGCGCGCGGGUUGGUCGCGCCCGUGGGGUCGACGCGGGCUGGCCGCACAUGGGGCCGAGGCGGGAGGCAUCUAUUUAAGCCGUGGCCUCGGGGCCGACGCGGCUCGGUUCGGGGGUCCGGAUGUCGGGUCGGCAAGAAGGUUCGCCGCAGCGCCUGGAAGAGUCCGCCCCCUCUGGUACCUGCACAAAGGUCGGGCCGAGUGCCCUCGGCCCGACCUUUCCGACGGCCAAGUUAGCGAUGUGGAGAGAGUUUUGGAGGAAGAGAUGCCUCCAUACAAGUGUGGCGUGUGUCUCUUAGGUGUCCCCCCCUUCCUUUCAAACGAAUGAGAGGGUAUUUAUAGGGGAGUAUUCUGCUUCCAUUGCUUGAUGUACCCCUUGCAGGGGCAGGCUGGUACUCCUGACAGUAGCGAUGGCGUAGCGUGUUGGACUUGACUUUUGCAGGAUAUUAAUGUGUCUCGGUCAGCGUUAUGAUCAAUUCCGAGGUGCGUGACGUCAUUUGGAACAGCUAACACUGUCCUUAGACUGAUUGCCAUAUUUACCCUUAUCAGUUACCAUGUCCAAGGUAAAUCUUUUCAGCUCUGUUCCAAAUUAUCGCUUUCAUAUAUCAAGCUAAACCUUUUUGACUGGAUAUUAAAGUCCAGUCACACGUAAAUAAAAUACUAGAAAGCGACAGGUUUCCUGCAUUCUUCAAUGCAAGAUGUACUUGUGUGUCUCAAGGUUGUUGCUAUUGUUUCGGGUGUUUGCUAAGAUAGCUGGUUAGGAAUGUCACUUACAGGUAUGUAUCUGAAAACCCAGGUUGCUUAA